rnacentral:rRNA from 1 species
UACGAAGGGGGCUAGCGUUGCUCGGAAUGACUGGGCGUAAAGGGCGCGUAGGCGGCCCGCACAAGUCUGCGGUGAAAACCCCCGGCUUAACCGGGGGCCGGCCGUGGAAACUGUCGGGCUAGAGGCCGGGAGAGGGCAGCGGAAUUCCCGGUGUAGCGGUGAAAUGCGUAGAGAUCGGGAGGAACACCGGCGGCGAAGGCGGCUGCCUGGACCGGCCCUGACGCUGAGGCGCGAAAGCUAGGGGAGCAAACAGG